AUGAUGUGGCAGAAAAACACAACCCCUUUAUAGUAGAAAGAUGCAUCACUCUGGUUAAAGGAAGCAGACGCUGAUGUUUGUGGUAGAAGCACCAAGUCCCCUUUUGCUACCCUUUUAUACCUCCUUCUAAAUCUUCAGAACAGAACAGUGAGAAGUAGGUGAAGCUGACUGCCCCAAGACAGGAAGAAGGAAGUGGAAGUGGACUGCCUUCAAGUCGAUUCCAACUUACGGCAGCCCUAUGAAUAAGGUUUUCAUGGGUCAUUUCAAAGUGCUGGUUUUGAACUACAAAGCCUUAGACUGCUCAGGACCCCAAUACUUCAAGGACCGCCUCUCCCUCUAUGUACCAACCCGGACCCUGCUCUUGGAAUCGGAGGCUCUUCUUCAUGUCCAAAGGACAGCAGCAACUCAAGAACUGGGCUUUUCAGUCCUGGCUCCCCUGGUGCCAUCAUUAUCCAUCUUGAGGCAGCAGGCAAAAGCAUGUCUCUUCUCCCAGGCAUUCGCUUCUUAACUUGGAAGGCUUUUGGAGGGCUUCUGUUGUGUACUUCCUAAGAAGGGUCACUCCACCACCUUAUG